rnacentral:rRNA from 1 species
GAUGAACGCUGGCGGCGUGCCUAAUACAUGCAAGUCGAGCGAACGGACGAGAAGCUUGCUUUUCUGAUGUUAGCGGCGGACGGGUGAGUAACACGUGGAUAACCUACCUAUAAGACUGUGAUAACUUCGGGAAACCGGAGCUAAUACCGGAUAAUAUUUUGAACCGCAUGGUUCAAAAGUGAAAGACGGUCUUGCUGUCACUUAUAGAUGGAUCCGCGCUGCAUUAGCUAGUUGGUAAGGUAACGGCUUACCAAGGCAACGAUGCAUAGCCGACCUGAGAGGGUGAUCGGCCACACUGGAACUGAGACACGGUCCAGACUCCUACGGGAGGCAGCAGUAGGGAAUCUUCCGCAAUGGGCGAAAGCCUGACGGAGCAACGCCGCGUGAGUGAUGAAGGUCUUCGGAUCGUAAAACUAUGUUAUUAGGGAAGAACAUAUGUGUAAGUAACUGUGCACAUCUUGACGGUACCUAAUCAGAAAGCCACGGCUAACUACGUG